rnacentral:rRNA from 1 species
UACGUAGGGUGCGAGCGUUAAUCGGAAUUACUGGGCGUAAAGCGUGCGCAGGCGGUUCGCCGUGUCCGAUGUGAAAGCCCCGGGCUUAACCUGGGAAUGGCAUUGGAAACUGGCGGGCUGGAGUAUGGCAGAGGGGGGUGGAAUUCCACGUGUAGCAGUGAAAUGCGUAGAGAUGUGGAGGAACACCGAUGGCGAAGGCAGCCCCCUGGGCCAAUACUGACGCUCAGGCACGAAAGCGUGGGGAGCAAACAGG